CCUGCUAAAACAAGGUUAAACAAUAAGAAAACAAUACCAUUGGACAAUUGGCAUAUCAACAAAGUUUUCUUGCAGUCAAUCUUUUGCUCUCCGGGAUCCUUGGGAUGUCCUAACUAAUGUUACCCCAUUGAAGUUUAACUUUAAAAUGUUUAGGGUUAGAGUAAGUUAGGGGGUAAUGUAGGGGUUCGGGUUAAGGUUAGGGUUUAGGCUAGGGACAUCCCAAGGCUUCCAGACAGCACUAACCUUCUGCAGUUCUCUGCAUAGAACUUCCUUAUUCCCAGGGCACAUCACAUCACUACAACACAAACACUCCUUAUCUUACAGAAUGCACUGAGCGUUCGCUGCACGCGCAGGCAAUGUUUAUUACAACCAACAAACAAGUCAGGGAAAUCAUUUGCAGAGCAACAACUUUUCAUGCAAAAGCUUUAUUGGAACAGAACUACUUUCUCCGACUGUGUGCGAUUUAGCACAGCACAGCACAACAUCGCAUAAUCACAAGGUAAACAACCCAUAUCAAGCCUGGAUCAAAUUAAUUUAAAAUACUUUCAACAUACAUCAUUUAGUUUGCCCGAAACAAUGGAGCCAAUGGAAUAGUCAUAACACUGCAAUAUCCAAGCUCCAUCAAGCGACCUUAUAUGGACCUGAGCCCUAGGACCAUGCCUCAGGACUACCUGGCCUGACGACUCCUUGCUGUUCCCAGUUCACCUGGCCAUGCUGCUGCUCCAGUUUCAACCUGUCCCAGACCUGCUGUUUUCAACUCUCUAGAGACAGCAGGAGCGGUAGAGAUACUCUGGAUGAUCGGCUAUGAAAAGCCAACUGACAUUUACUCCUGAGGUGCUGACCUGCUGCACCCUCGACAACCACUGUGAUUGUUAUUAUUUGACCCUGCUGGUCAUCUAUGUACAUUUGAACAUAUUGGCCAUGUUCUGUUAUAAUCUCCACCCGGCACAGCCAGAAGAGGACUGGCCACCCCUCAUAGUCUGGUUCCUCUCUAGGUUUCUUCCUGGGUUCUGGGGAGUUUUUCCUAGCCACCGUGCUUUUACACCUGCAUUGCUUGCUGUUUGGGGUUUUAGGAUGGGUUUCUGUACAGCACUAUAUUUUAUAGUCAGACUCAACAGAUAAACAUAUAUUUCAUAGUCAGGCUCAAUAACAGGUACAGAUAUAUAUUAUAGUCAGACUCAACAGAUGAAUAUAUAUUUUAUAGUCAGGCUCAACAGAUAAAUAUAUAUUUUAUAGUCAGGCUCAACAGAUAAAUAUAUAUUUUAUAGUCAGGAUCAACAGAUAAAUAUAUAUUUUAUAGUCAGACUCAACAGAUAAAUAUAUAUUUUAUAGUCAGACUCAAAAGAAGUAUAUAUUUUAUAAUAAGGCUCAAUAACAGAUACAUGUAUAUUUUAUAGUCAGGCUUAAUAACAGAUACAUAUAUAUUUUAUGUACAUAUAUUCAUAAAUUUACAUUCUCAGUGAUAUUCUGACCUUUGUGAGGUGAAACUCAAACUGAGGCCUUUGCUCCCUACAAGUUUACUCCGUUCAUUUUUUUUGGAAGAGUUUUAUAAUCCUGUGUAGAGUGCAACAGUGCCACCCUCUGUCUAAAAGUGGUAUUACACAUCCAGGCCCAAAGCCAUAGACCUUAAAUAUGACUCUUGCCAAACCUAAUGCACAUUCAACUGUAGCCAACAAACAUCUGUAAAAAAGGGAGAAAAAAAACUGCAUAAUACAUCAAACCAUGAACAGCUAUGUACAUAAGUGUUUAUAUAUUCUUAAUUCCAUUCAUUUUUUUUUCGAUUUGUAUGUAUAGAGUAUUGUAUUGUGUAAUUGUUAGAUAUUACUUGUUAGAUAUUACUGCACGGUUGGGAACUAGAAACACAAUAAUUUUGCGACACCUGCAAUAACAUCUGCUAAACACAUGUAUGUGGCCAAUAAAACUUGAUUUGAAAGGAGGAUUUUAGACGUUUUAAAAAGAAAAUAAGAGAAUUUGGAAUACAUGAAAUACCUGGCCCUAUAUGGCUCUACUCUUUUUACACACCUGUUCCUGAAUGAAUCCUUUGAUUACUUUAUAUCACACAAAUAUUCCUUAUAAUAAAAACACAUGUUUGUU